GGCCUUAUGAUCGCCUGCGGUUGUAAGGGCAACGAGCAACAGCCUUACUUACUUGUCCAGCGACCUCAUUUAGCUCAGGAGCGGGAGGUGUCAGUUGGCUCACAACAGCCCUUCAGGGGGUCUUUGUGUGUGUAGCCUUCUGGUUGGCCACAUACCAGGCAGGGAAAGAGGCCAGCAUCACCAUGUCAUCCAGAAUGGCUUUCUUCAAUUCCUGAAUUGAACCAUGUCCAGUAGUUGAGUUCCUCUGCAUCGACCAGCUUGAUGUGGUUGCAGGGCAGAGGUGCCCCUACAUGCCCUAGGACACCAGAACAAGAGUGAAAGGCUUGGGCCUCUGGCAUCUUCCUCUGUACCCGGCUGCCCAGCACACGUCCCACCACCCCCAAGGAAGGCCCGGGAUGAUGAUACCUGGCACCCCAGAGCUGCUCGUAGGAAUCCCAGAACCGUUGGUGACGCGGGGGCUGCUCCAGUGACAAUCAUCCUCACAUGCCCACCAAGACUGGCCUGUGGGAAGAAAGAAGCUGCCAAUGAUGGUGACACACGAGAUGGUCUUCAUUUAUGGUCUGCUUUCAACAGCUGGACCCUGGGUGCUAGAAGAGAGCCACGUGCUGAGGAAGUCGCUUCUCUUUUGUAAUAAAUGUGGCUAGUUGUCAACAUAA
rnacentral:lncRNA from 1 species